rnacentral:ncRNA from 2 species
AACGUUCAUCCCGAAAGGGACGCAAGUAAGCCGACACGGAACGGAUU